GUCAUGCCUAAUGUUACCUCAGUUUUCCCAGAGGCACUUUAUUUUACUGGUAGGUUAUUGAUAAAGGCUCAGGAUAAAGACUCAGCAGCUAGAUGAGGACUGCAGUGAGCAGUAUUUUAUUUUCCUUUCUAUUUGUUAGGGAAAUGCAUUUGAAAUGCAUUAUCUUUGAAUUUAUAAAACAACAACAAAAAAAGCCAUUGUAGGGGAAGUGAAAUGGUUGGAACUAUAACCGGAUACACAUGUAUCCCUCC